GAAUUAUUCUGUGUAUAUAAAUAUAAAUUAAUGAAUAUAUUAAAGAUUGUUUUGUGAAUAUUGUAACUGUUAACUGCUAUGGCAGUUGUCUGUUAUUUUACUGUUUUGUGUUGUUGGAUGUUAUUUUUGGAAUAAGAAUGCUUUGUUUUUGAGGAAUUGUCAACUGUUUUACUGUUUUAAAAUCUAUACGAUCACAUCUAAAAAAAAGAAAGAAAAAUAAAGAAUUCUGAGGGAUGCUGGUGGAGCUGUGGGACCACUUGGAUGCAGUCAGAAGUCACAUUGUGAAGAAUGUUUCAUUCUGUGUCAUACUAAAAGGUGACAAGCAACCAAGCGAGGAAGGCUACAUUGGUGCCGUGACGAACAAGGAAGGUUACACCUGAGACUAGUGGAUGGCUAAGAGACCUUGUCGCUGGAAUCGAAUGUGGCAUGUGCAGGCUUUCUUGGGGCCGGGAUCAACAGAGGGCGUCAUGGGGCUGGGAUAGACUAAGGUACUGGGAGGCAUGACACUAUUGGCCCUCAUUUAGUGAAAUAGCGUGUCAAGAUUUUACCAGCACCAGAAAAAAGACUUGUAAUAAAACCGCCUCUCUUUUUCUGGUGCUUUUUAAGCUGACUUACAAGACACAACACGAUUAUGUCAUCGACUACCUGAUGCUCCAUGAAAGCCAGCGUCCAUCCAGCAGAACAGCCCAAGGUUUUAGUUAGGUCCCUGAAAACCUUUUUGGCCAGGCUUGGAGGCCAUUUCUGCUGGAUUUCAAAUGGCUGUCCCUCAAUGCUAGCCCAGAUUUUGUUGACAAUGCGUUCCUGUGCCUCUUUCAGGUACUUAAGACAGCAACAUGUCUUAGACUCCCUGAUGCCUCGACACAUCAACGACUUCACAAAAAGUCGUAUUGUGUCUUUUCUGUCAUGGUUUGAGUCUUCUGUGCGUUUAUUUUUGAGUUUCUGUGUCUCUGAGCCUCUGUGUUGUCCUAUGUCCCCUUGAUUAUUCUCAGGUGUGUCUCAUUCCCUUCUCUUGUGUAUUCCUCAUAGGACUUUCUCAGUGCUUCAAUUUUACGUCUCAUCGUUAUCAGUUCUUGGACAAUACUGAUAACAGGUUGCACCAAAGAAC